CACGUAGGGUGCGAGCGUUGUCCGGAAUUAUUGGGCGUAAAGAGCUCGUAGGCGGUGUGUCGCGUCGGCCGUGAAAACCUGCAGCUUAACUGUGGGCUUGCGGUCGAUACGGGCAUCACUGGAGUUCGGCAGGGGAGACUGGAAUUCCUGGUGUAGCGGUGAAAUGCGCAGAUAGUCAGGAGGAACACCCGGUGGCGAAGGCGGGU
rnacentral:rRNA from 1 species